UAGGGAAUCUUCGGCAAUGGGGGCAACCCUGACCGAGCAACGCCGCGUGAGUGAAGAAGGUUUUCGGAUCGUAAAGCUCUGUUGUAAGUCAAGAACGGGUGUGAGAGUGGAAAGUUCACACUGUGACGGUAGCUUACCAGAAAGGGACGGCUAACUACGUGCCAGCAGCCGCGGUAAUACGUAGGUCCCGAGCGUUGUCCGGAUUUAUUGGGCGUAAAGCGAGCGCAGGCGGUUUGAUAAGUCUGAAGUUAAAGGCUGUGGCUCAACCAUAGUUCGCUUUGGAAACUGUCAAACUUGAGUGCAGAAGGGGAGAGUGGAAUUCCAUGUGUAGCGGUGAAAUGCGUAGAUAUAUGGAGGAACACCGGUGGCGAAAGCGGCUCUCUGGUCUGUAACUGACGCAGAGGCUCGAAAGCGUGGGGAGCGAACAGG
rnacentral:rRNA from 1 species